CUUCCCAGAGUGUCCACUUUCUUCCUCUCAGAGGCCAGUUAUUUCCACCGCCCAAAGUCUGUCCUCCAUUAUCUGAAAUACAGGAGCCAUCAUGAUGGAACCAUGGAGUAGCUAGGCCUUGAGAUGAAGAGCUGCCGGAUUGGGAUUCAGCAUUUCAACCAUUGUGUUGUGAUAGCAGGUCUGGACGGCAUGGGAGUGAGUGAGGGCUGCAGAAUGCGAGAUGGUUGAGGCAAAGGAGUGACAACUGCUAAGAGCGCCAUCUGCUGCCAAGGAUGAUAGAGAAGGAACUUAGGGGUAGCUGCGUCAUGUGCACAGUCUAUAGACACAAGUGGCACCAUGACAGGCUACUGUGCAGGCAAAAUGCGAUCCAACACUGCUAAGAAAAAUCUCUGAUUUGGCAGCAUAAGGUCACACCGACACCUAAAGUGGAACACCCACAGAGACAACAUUCUAAGAUGCCUGACAUCCUCUGGUAGCAUGAUACUCCUGUUAGUUCAAAGUUUUAAAAUAAAAAAAACCCCAAACCAAAUAAGCCUUAAUUCUGUAAUGAUAAAUUGGAACAAACUAUAAUUACAAAUAGAAUUGCAAGGCUCCUAGAAGAUCAUGAUAUAGGGUCUAAGCAGAAUGGCUUCUGCAUAGGAAAGUUAUGCCUCACUAAUCUUAGAAUUCUUUAAAUGUGUCAAUAAAAUAGUGAAUAAAAGAGAUUCAGAAAUGAAAAACUGGACUUUUAAAAGUCUGUCAUAAAAGGCUAUUCAUGAAAUAAAAUUGUCAUGGUAUGAAAGGCCAAGUAUGCUCACAUAGCAGAAACUGAUAGUAAAAGAACAAAAAAUGGCCAGUUUUCACCAAGACACACAAACCUUAACACUGGAGUGCCACAAGAUGCUAUACUAGAAGUGGCAAUUAAUAUGCUGAUGAUCUGGAAAAAGGAGAAGCAGUCAGGUGGCUAAUGAUACCCUUUUGUCUUCUGCAAAUUUAGUCAGGAAUGGAGAAAAUGGAGGAACUUCAGAGAACCUAACCAACCUAGACAAAUGGGCAACAAAACAGCAGAUGACAUUCAAUGUUAGUCAAUGAAGAGUAACACAGGAUGAGUAGUUUAACUUACUCUUUCCGUACAAUUUACUGGAAUCUACACUAUAUCACCUCAAGAAAAGGACCUGAAGACUUCUACUCAGCAUGAAGCAGCAGACAAAAAUCGAACAAAGCAUUAGAAUGGAUAGGGAAUGAGAUAAAGAAUAGUACAGAAAAUAUAACAUCAUUAUAUAAAUCCAUUCAUUUGCUCUGAAUACUGUUUUUAGAUGGAGUAACCCUAACCUUAACAUAAGUCUUGUGUUGAAAGCUGACUAUCAAUUGAUAUGCAUACAUUUAAGGUAAAUGCUAUCUACCACUGUGCAAUGCUGAGGAGUCAAGAGUAAUAAAAAUCCCACAUAGAGGCUACAUCUAGACUGCAGGCUUCUUUCAGAAGAUUGUUUCUGCUUUAGGAAAGAGAACA